UACGUAGGGCGCAAGCGUUAUCCGGAAUUAUUGGGCGUAAAGAGCUCGUAGGCGGUUUGUCGCGUCGGCUGUGAAAACCUAGGGCUCAACCCUGGGCUUGCAGCCGAUACGGGCAAACUAGAAUUCGGUAGGGGGAGACUGGAAUUCCUGGUGUAGCGGUGAAAUGCGCAGAUAUCAGGAGGAACACCGGUGGCGAAAGGCGGGUCUCUGGGGCCGAUAUUGACGCUGAGGAGCGAAAGCGUGGGGAGCGAACAGG
rnacentral:rRNA from 1 species